CAAGUCGCACGGACUGUUUCGGCAGUUAGUGGCGGACGGGUGAGUAACACGUAGGUGACCUACCCCAAAGUCUGGGACAACUAGGAGAAAUCUUAGCUAAUCCUGGAUGUGAACCUCAGCUGUGGCUGAUGUUUAAAGCUUCGGCGCUUUGGGAUGGGCCUGCGGCGCAUCAGGUAGUUGGUGGGGUAACGGCCCACCAAGCCGACGACGCGUAGCUGGUCUGAGAGGACGACCAGCCACAGGGGUACUGAGACACGGACCCCACUCCUACGGGAGGCAGCAGUUAGGAAUCUUCCGCAAUGGGCGAAAGCCUGACGGAGCGAUACCGCUUGAAGGACGAAGCCCUUCGGGGUGUAAACUUCUGAACUCGGGACGAUAAUGACGGUACCGAGGUAAUAGCACCGGCUAACUCCGUGCCAGCAGCCGCGGUAAUACGGAGGGUGCGAGCGUUACCCGGAUUUACUGGGUGUAAAGGGCGUGUAGGCGGUCUCUCAAGUCCGAUGCUAAAGACCGAAGCUCAACUUCGGGGGUGCGUUGGAUACUGUGAGGCUAGACGGUCGGAGAGGGUAGCGGAAUUUCCGGAGUAGCGGUGAAAUGCGCAGAUAC
rnacentral:rRNA from 1 species